GGGUGGUUAGCUCAAUCGGUAGAGCAAUGGCUUCCAAACCCAGAGGUUCGAGGUUCGAGUCCUCGGCCGCCCGC
rnacentral:tRNA from 1 species